GAUGUGUCUAGAUCAGUGGUAGAGCAUCUGCUUUGCAUGCAGAAGUUUCCAGGGUUCAAUCUCCAGUGGCAUCU